rnacentral:lncRNA from 10 species
UCAGAUUUUCUAAAACGAGGAAGCUGAUUCGCAGAUUGAGGGCAGAUCUGGGCAAACGAUCUACGGAUCUUUAUGACCCACUUUGUCAACAUGGAUUGGGAAAGGAAAAACUAAUCCUAGAGGUAGUAAAAGUUGAUGCCUAAAUGUAGACAGUGCAAAUGCAGGGAACAUUUGGAGAUUUUAAAACCUUACAGCGUUUACCCCAGAAAACUGCUUACUUUACCCUCUUCAAUUUAAUCCCCAAUCUCCCAAGCAGUUUUUUUGUUUUGUUUUUUGCUUUUGUUUGUUAAGCAGGAAGGAAACCAAAGGACAAAAACCCCUAGACUGUGUAAUGCCCAGCAACCUAUUUCUGGAAUAUAGUAAGCACUCAACUAAUGUUAGACACACGCAGAAAACACACAAUUUUAUGCGCUUGUUUAUUUAUUUGUUUUUGCUUUAAACGGUAUCUAUUCAAACCCAAAACCUUAGUGGCUAUUAAAAUAUUUUUUAAAUCGGAAUACUAUAAUACUUGAUGCCCUGCUAACAAAGACUAACAAAGAUAGUGCGUUAUGUUUCAGAGGUCAUUAGUUUGUGGUACUAAAUUCUUAAC